rnacentral:lncRNA from 1 species
GAUUUUAGUCUUGCCCAAGAGGAAUCACCAUCUGUUGAAUCACAACUUUCACUUCCUUUGUUGCCGGAGUUUCUUAAUCUUUCAUCUCACAUUGGUCUAGCUCUGUAGAUGGGACAAUGUCACCAGAGCAGAAAUAAUCACGCUGGAGGUAAGGCUGAGGACUGCAGAGGCCAUGAGGAAAGUUACACUGAUGAAAGUGGAAAGAAUGCCAGAAAAAACCCCAACAUUGGAACAAUUGUGCAAAGACAGAUUUUCUUCUCAGUCAUUGGCUGUGGGAACAGCUUGCUGCCUAAAGAAGUGUUUACAGAGGGGGACAGCAACCCAAGUUUUCUACUUGCUGACUCACAGGAGUGCUAGUCUGUACAAGCCUUGCUGGUCACAAAUUUUCACUGUUGUAGUGAAAAUCACCUUCCAGGGCUGCUCUGCUCAGUCUGGAGCGCUGUGAAGGAAGAAUUCCCUCUCCCGUGCCAACAGCCCUAUUUCAUGCGGGUACCUACUGGAUUCUUCGCACCUUGCAAGUGGCCAUGCCUGCAGCAAAUGGUCUUUACCUGGUAAGUCAGUCAUGGGAAGAAACACAGCUAAAAUUUUCCCAGCUGUUGAACCUACAGCCAAGACUGAGUGCAGCUUGAACUCUGAAAUGUAAGAAACGUGCAAAGCACUUCUUCUCGGCCCAUGUCUGUCUCCUUGAAAUUAGCCUGCUGUUCACUUAUGACAAGGCUUCUAGUGGCUUCUGCCACACCAUUCCUGACUUACAGUGGCUCACCUAGCCUUCUCACCCUCCUUCUUGGCAAUCUAAUGGUAGCUAUUUGUAUCACUUUUAUAGCUCUGUGUUGUGUCCUGUCUUGCUACAUCGUAUUUUCAAGCAUAGACCCAGCCUGAGGAGUACUUGGAGGAAAAUCUGUGCACCUGUUUCCAGAUCUUUGGCUGCUGCAAACCAGUAAAGGAAUCCAGGCCAGUUAAUACCGGCCAAAGAAGUGGGCCAGAAGUUUGAAGCUGAAAGGCUAUAGAUCUGAGAGCUACUUGCAGCAGCUGCCUUAACAUUUGUAAUAAUGACUCAGCUGUACAGGUGAUGGCAGCAGUACACCACACGGAAACUUGGGGGCCUGGAGGCCAGAAUGAUAGGCUUUGCAAUGGGGAGCCAGUGGGAAAAACAGGGAGGUCUUUUUCAUAAAAUGCACAGAGAAAGCAACUGGGCACUAAGCUGUGCUUAAAAUGGCAAAGGCAUUUUGCAUGCUGGCCUGUCCUUGGAAAGGAGACAAGGAGCAGUGAGUGUUGACAUGGUAUUGUAGGAAUGACUGAGCUAUCAUAAAAGGACAGGUAUUUAAUCUUCCAAAAGUAGCUUAUCUCAGUCAUUUGAGCACAUGAG